rnacentral:rRNA from 1 species
AGAGUUUGAUCCUGGCUCAGGAUGAACGCCGGCGGUGUGCCUAAUACAUGCAAGUCGUACGCACUGGCCCAACUGAUUGAUGGUGCUUGCACCUGAUUGACGUUGGACCACCAGUGAGUGGCGGACGGGUGAGUAACACGUAGGUAACCUGCCCCGGAGCGGGGGAUAACAUUUGGAAACAGAUGCUAAUACCGCAUAACAACAAAAGCCACAUGGCUUUUGUUUGAAAGAUGGCUUUGGCUAUCACUCUGGGAUGGACCCGCGGUGCAUUAGCUAGUUGGUAAGGUAACGGCUUACCAAGGCGAUGAUGCAUAGCCGAGUUGAGAGACUGAUCGGCCACAAUGGAACUGAGACACGGUCCAUACUCCUACGGGAGGCAGCAGUAGGGAAUCUUCCACAAUGGGCGCAAGCCUGAUGGAGCAACACCGCGUGAGUGAAGAAGGGUUUCGGCUCGUAAAGCUCUGUUGUUGGAGAAGAACGUGCGUGAGAGUAACUGUUCACGCAGUGACGGUAUCCAACCAGAAAGUCACGGCUAACUACGUGCCAGCAGCCGCGGUAAUACGUAGGUGGCAAGCGUUAUCCGGAUUUAUUGGGCGUAAAGCGAGCGCAGGCGGUUGCUUAGGUCUGAUGUGAAAGCCUUCGGCUUAACCGAAGAAGUGCAUCGGAAACCGGGCGACUUGAGUGCAGAAGAGGACAGUGGAACUCCAUGUGUAGCGGUGGAAUGCGUAGAUAUAUGGAAGAACACCAGUGGCGAAGGCGGCUGUCUGGUCUGCAACUGACGCUGAGGCUCGAAAGCAUGGGUAGCGAACAGGAUUAGAUACCCUGGUAGUCCAUGCCGUAAACGAUGAGUGCUAGGUGUUGGAGGGUUUCCGCCCUUCAGUGCCGGAGCUAACGCAUUAAGCACUCCGCCUGGGGAGUACGACCGCAAGGUUGAAACUCAAAGGAAUUGACGGGGGCCCGCACAAGCGGUGGAGCAUGUGGUUUAAUUCGAAGCUACGCGAAGAACCUUACCAGGUCUUGACAUCCAGUGCAAACCUUAGAGAUAAGGCGUUCCCUUCGGGGACGCAAUGACAGGUGGUGCAUGGUCGUCGUCAGCUCGUGUCGUGAGAUGUUGGGUUAAGUCCCGCAACGAGCGCAACCCUUGUUACUAGUUGCCAGCAUUAAGUUGGGCACUCUAGUGAGACUGCCGGUGACAAACCGGAGGAAGGUGGGGACGACGUCAGAUCAUCAUGCCCCUUAUGACCUGGGCUACACACGUGCUACAAUGGACGGUACAACGAGACGCAAGCUCGCGAGAGUAAGCUAAUCUCUUAAAGCCGUUCUCAGUUCGGACUGUAGGCUGCAACUCGCCUACACGAAGUCGGAAUCGCUAGUAAUCGCGGAUCAGCAUGCCGCGGUGAAUACGUUCCCGGGCCUUGCACUCACCGCCCGUCA